ACUUUACACACAGCGGUUCUUAAAGUACAGACUGGUUCCCGGAUAGCUUCAUUAUGAAACGUAUAUUAAGAUCCUGUGCUAAGCGAAACUCGCGAGGUGCCGGGAAAACGCAACUACGUCACCCAGUGAAGGACAGCAUCUGCCUUCUGUCAUUGUGCGUGAUGAAUGGCUUGCGAAGAUUCUAAAUGAGAAAUACUGCAAAGAAAAACGCGUAAAUGACGAGAAAUUUAACAACAGACUGACUCCUUUCCCAAGUUCAUCAUUCUGCAAUCAGAAUAAGGUGAUAAACAAACAAAAUAAUAAUAAUAAUAAUAGUAAUUAUUAUUAUUAUUAUUAUUAUUAUUAUUAUUAUUAUUGUUAUUAUUAUUGCUUUGUCACUGUCGUGAAGCACGCAGUGUUUCCCCGGGACUCGGCUCCCCCUGGCGGCAGGGACAUUGAACUGUCUCAUCUACGCAAGGUGCCCCCAUUGUUGGAUUACUAUUUUAUGGAGCUGAGGGCUGUCCUGGGGGAGGGGCUGGAUGUCGCGGGACUGGAGCCUGAGUGGCGUGAGAUGUUUGCCUUUGCCUGGAGAGACUUUCACCACUUUCUCCAGGGAUGGAUGAUGGGCCAUCACAAGGUCAUCAAGUACAGCAAGUUUUGUUUUAGAUACUAGUGCAGUGUGACCCUCUGUACUUGUAGCUGAGUAAAGACAUUCAGAUGUCCUCCACCCAUCCAAAUCAUACAGUCUGGCAGAUUGGUAACUCCUAAAUGCCCAGUGUGUGAUUAGCUCAGUGUGUGGAUGGCCAUGCCAUUCUGGAUGCCCCCCUACCUGGUACCCUGUAUUUUUGGGAUACAUUCCAGGCUCCAUCCCAUGAUCCUGUACUGGAAAAGCAGCAGAAAGACGAAUGAAUGGGCUCCGUGGAACAGAAAGUCAGUCAUCAGAACCCCAACCCCAACCCUAUCAAAGGUCAGUGGUAACAUCACCUUGCAUGCACCUGGACUGAAAAGAAUGAUGUCAUCCUGCUACUCAAGAUCCUGCAGGGAAAUCAUACAAAAGCUACAAUGAUUUAUUUUAGCAAAGAUGGUUUUGCUUGCCCUUCCAUGACAUGAGACUUUAGCUAUUCUACAGACGUGAUGAACUGGCUAUCAUUGUGAGGUAUGACUACACUACGUGAAGUUCAAAAGGACACAAUAUGGUCCAGUGAGGCAUUCAAAGCUAUAUAUAUAUAUAUAUUUGCAAACUGCAGCCUGGUUCUGUUUCUCAUUAAUGAAGGGCUUCUUCCUUGCUUUAUGGGACUUCAGUCCUGCUUUUAGGAGCCUGAUACGAUUCAUGACAAACUGUCAGAUAAGUUGCUGGUCAUCUCUGGCAUUAUAAAGUCACUUCUGCUCUU